CUCUUGUCCAGGUUUCGUUUUCGUCGCAGUUUGAGGUGUCUAGGGGAGUGACUGCCGUUUCUAUAUGACAGCAACAGCUGAUUGCACGCCGCGAUGGAAAUGUAAACAAUGGAGGGAGGAAGGAGAUGGCAUUUAGUUGCUGGAAAAACAGGAACUAGUUUGAGUUUCUGUCACCAAGUCCGACUACAAGUGGCCUUUGGGCUUUUUUUUUUUUUCCUGCAACGUCUGAUCCACCUGCUUUCCUCUAGCUGCAAAGCAGAGAUCAGCUGUCCUUGCCACAGCAGCAGCAUUCCUCACCCUGCGCCUUUUCUUGAAAUCUCAGAAAAAUCAUAAUCAGGCUGUAAAAAAAAAAAAAAAUAGUUCAGCUGUCCUUUUUUUGUGUUGGAGGUAUAAUGCCUCACGUUCGGUCAAACAGUAAGGACACACAGCACCUGGAGGAAGA